UUUUUGGAGAGUUUGAUCCUGGCUCAGGACGAACGCUGGCGGCGUGCUUAACACAUGCAAGUCGAACGGGGUGUUUAUUUCGGUAAACACCAAGUGGCGAACGGGUGAGUAACGCGUAAGCAAUCUACCUUCAAGAUGGGGACAACACUUCGAAAGGGGUGCUAAUACCGAAUGAAUGAGAGAUGACCGCAUGGAUAUUUCUCUAAAGGAGGCCU
rnacentral:rRNA from 1 species